UUAAUUAUAAAUUAAGGCCUCUUAUAUGUAAUAAAAAACACAUUAUAGUUAAAUUAAUACCUUCUCAGCUUCAUAUCAAAGCUAAAAUUAAAGAAAGAAAAAGCAAUUCUAACUUUUAGAAUUAACAAUAAAUCAUUUUAAAGAAUUCAACUAGUUGCACUGUUAUGAUACAAUUCAGUGUAUACUAUCAAUGGUACAAACAUUUUAUAUUGGAAUCAUAAUUGAAUGUACGUGUUAAUUAACAUGAGUUUAUUGUCAAUGAUUAAUUUCAUCAAUAUUUACACACUUUAAAUCAAUCAGUUGUGAAACAUCGAAAUUUGAAUAUAUAUUAAAUUCUGCUUAAGAUACACCAAACAACCGAGACAUUUAAUGUUAUUUAUUUUAUUCGACGAUUCAGUAAAAAAAAAACCAAAAAGGAAAAAUAUAUUGUUCAUACACCAUUGUAAAAUUAUGCAUAACUAUUUUAUUAUGCUUAUGACAUAUUAAAGAAAACGUUUUAUGGUCAAAACAUGAUUAUUCUUACCAAUCCUUUUUUUAAACCAAAAUAAAAAAAAUGCUUACCACG